rnacentral:rRNA from 1 species
GGAAUAUUGGACAAUGGGCGAAAGCCUGAUCCAGCAAUGCCGCGUGAGUGAUGAAGGCCUUAGGGUUGUAAAGCUCCUUUACCAGGGAUGAUAAUGACAGUACCUGGAGAAUAAGCUCCGGCUAACUCCGUGCCAGCAGCCGCGGUAAUACGGAGGGAGCUAGCGUUGUUCGGAAUUACUGGGCGUAAAGCGUACGUAGGCGGUUAUUCAAGUCAGAGGUGAAAGCCUGGAGCUCAACUCCAGAACUGCCUUUGAAACUAGAUAGCUAGAAUCUUGGAGAGGUGAGUGGAAUUCCGAGUGUAGAGGUGAAAUUCGUAGAUAUUCGGAAGAACACCAGUGGCGAAGGCGACUCACUGGACAAGUAUUGACGCUGAGGUACGAAAGCGUGGGGAGCAAACAGGAUUAGAUACCCUGGUAGUCCACGCCGUAAACGAUGAUAACUAGCUGUUCGGGCCCUACGAGCUUGAGUGGCGCAGCUAACGCAUUAAGUUAUCCGCCUGGGGAGUACGGUCGCAAGAUUAAAACUCAAAGGAAUUGACGG